GUGUGAUCUUGGCUCACUGCAACCUCUGCCUCCCAGGUUCAAGUGAUUCUUGUGCCUCAGCCUCCCUGAGUAGCUGGGAUUACAGGUGUACACCACCACGCCCGGCUAAUUUUGGUAUUUUUUUGUAGAGACGGGGUUUCACGUUGCCCAGGCUGGGCUUGAAUUCCUGCCCUCAAGUGAUCCGCCCACAUCAGCCUCCCAAAGUGCUGGGAUUAUAGUUGUGAGUGACUGCGCCUGGCCCUAUUUAUUUAUUUUUUUACAUAGAGAUGGGGUCUCCCUAUAUUGCCCAGGUUGGCCUCAAACUCCUGGGCUCAAAGGAUCCUUCCUCCUUGGCCUCCUGAAGCGUUGGGAUUAUAGGCAUCAGCCACUGUGCCCGGCCUAUUUAUUUUUCUCGAGAAAGGGUCUUGCCCUGUCUCCCAGGCUGGAGUGCAGUGGCGUGGUCAUGGCUCACUGUAGCCUUAACCUUCUGUGGCCAAGCGAUUCUUCUGUCCUUAAGCCUCCUGAGUAGCUGGGACCACAGGUGCAUGCCACAACACCCGGCUAAUUUUUUUUUUUUUUUUUUUUUUUUUUUUAGAGAUGAGGUCUUGCUAUGUUGCUCAGGCUGGUCUUGAGCUCUGAGCUUGAGUCAUCCUCCUGUCAUCCUCUCCUGAAACCCCCCACCCUGCCCAUCCCUGGCCUCCAAAGUGCUGAGCUUAUAGGCAUGAACCACUGUGCCUGGCCAGAAUUUCAUUUAAACAAAUACUCCUGGCCGGGCGUGGUGGCUCAGGCCUGUAAUCCCAACACUGUGGGAGGCCGAGGCGGGGGGAUCACCUGAGGUCAGGAGUUCUCAAGACCAGCCUGACCAACAUGGUGAAAGCCCCAUCUCUACUAAAAAUACAGAAAAAUUAGCCGGGUGUGUGCUGGGCACCUGUAAUCCCAGCUACUCAGGAGACUGAGGCAGGAGAAUCGCUUGAACCCAGGAGGCAGAGGUUGCAGUAAACCGAGAUCGCGUCAUCGUACUCCAGCCUGGGAGACAGAGCAAGACUCUGUCUCCAAAAACAAAACAAAACAAAAACAAAUAUUCCCCGCUUGCUUUUUACCAGACCCCAACUUGGUCCAAGGAAAGCAUCCCCAUCCCAGGUGAGGAUGAAAUCACCACUGGUGGAUGCCAGCUUGGUGGAUCUGUCUGCAGCUGUCACUGACCUGUGCCUCACAGCCAGUGGGAUAUAAGGGAACAUGAGGAGAGGGCUGAAAGGAGAGGGAACUCUGGGGACAGAUUUUCUCCCACUUAACAAUGCCCAGAACAGAAUGCGGCCUCUUCCUUCACUGGCUGUUGGUGACAUCUGGAGCAGCUGCAGCUACCUUGGGACCAUGAGGGGGGGUCCAGCCCCCAAACCUAUCCUUGGCACAGCUAGGGGAUGCGAGAACCUGGUUCCCUGAAGUCAUCCUGCCUUGGGACAUCUUGGUUUUUAUCAUAAUUCAUUUUUAUUUAUUCUUUUUUCUAUUAGAGACAGGGCCUCAUUCUGUCACCCAGCCUGGAGUGCAGUGGAGUGAUAGAUCAUGGCUCACUGCAGCCUCAAACUCCAGGGCUCAAGGGAUCCUCCCACACCAGCCUCCUAAGCAGCUGAGACUACAGGCACACACUACCAUGCCCAGCUAAUUUUUUUUCUUUUUCUGAGACGGGGUCUCGCUAUGUUGCCCAGGCUGGUCUCAAACUCCUAAGCUCAAGUGAUCCUCUUGCCUCAGCCUUCUUUUUUUCAGACAGAGUCUCGCUCUGUCACCCAGGCUGGAGUGCAGUGGCAUGAUCUCGGCUCACUGCAACCUCUGCCUCCUGGGUUCAAGCAAUUCUCCUGCCUCAGCCUCCUGAGUAGCUGGGACUACAGGUGCCUGCCACCACGCCCAGCUAAUUUUUUUAGUAUUUUUAGUAGAGAAAGGGUUUCACCGUGUUAGCCGGGAUGGUCUCCAUCUCCUGACCUCGUGAUCUAUCCGCCUCUGCCUUCUAAAGUGCUGGGACUACAGGUGGAGCCACCAUACCUGGUACAUUCUUUUUUUUUUUUUUGAGAUGGAAUCUUGCUCUGGUACUCCGGUUGGAGUGCAGUGGUGCAAUCUUGGCUCGCUGCAACCUCCGCCUCCCAGGAUCAAGCAAUUCUCUUGCCUCAGCCUCCCGAGUAGCUGGGAUUACAAGUGCCCACCACCACACCCGGCUCAUCUUUGUAUUUUUAGUAGAGAUGGGGUUUUGCCAUGUUGACCAGGCUGGUCUUGAACUCCUGGCCUCAAGUGAUCCCCCCUAUCUUGGCCUUUCGAAGUGUUGGGAUUACAGGCGUGAGCCACAGCACCUGGCCAAAUUCAUCUUUUAAAAGUUGCUUAAUCCCGGCCAGGUGCAGUGGCUCACUCCUGUAAUCCCAGCACUUUGGGAGGCUAAGGUGGGCAGAUCAUGAUGUCAGGAGUUCAAGACCAGCCUGGCCAAUAUGGUGAAACCCCCAUCACUACUAAAACAAUGCAAAAAUUAGAAGGCCGGGCGUGGUGGCAGGCAGCUGUAAUCCCAGCUACUCGGGAGGCGGAGGCAGGAGAAUCGCUUGAUCCCAAAAGGCAGAGGUUGCAGUGAGCUGAGAUUACACCACUGCCCUCCAGCCUGGGUGACAGAGUAAGACUCCAUCUCAAAAAAAAAAAAAAAAAAAAUUGCUUAAUCCCAGGUUUGGGUUUUCUGUCCUUGUGGCUGAAGGGACCCUGAGUGAAGGCUGCAGACUCAUCAGGGGCAGAUGGAAAAAUACCAGGAUUGAGCCUCUCAGAAGUGAUGCUUGAAUCCAGUCUUCAAAGAUGAGGACUCCGGCAGGUGACGUGGCAAUAGCGUUUUGGAGGGACCAGUCCAGAUACACAGGCAUGGAGCCAUGCAUUUGUUCCAGAAAGUGUAUUUGGAUGGAACCGGAACAUGGAACAGGACACACAGCAGGAUGCGGAGCAGUGUCAGAUGAGGCCAGAAAGGUGGGUGGGACUGGUCUUCAGGGGCUCCAGAUGAGGCUGGCGAUGAGAUGGCUGGAAGCCAGGGGUUCAGGGAGGCCCAGGCUCCUGGUAUCAGGGUUCACCGGCUAUACUGAGGAUCCCCUGCCCCUGGCACCCAGCUGUGGAGGGGACACUGUCUUUGAGGCAUCACUGGUUC
rnacentral:lncRNA from 1 species